UUUGAAUUCCUGAUCUUGCUCCCGAAGACUUCUCUUCCCCUCUCUAUACAAGAACCCUAAUCGUCUGUUUAGCUUAGCCACAUCCUUAUAUUAUCUCUAUGAAUAACAAAGAAUGAAAGAUUAUGGCUAGAUUUGAUAUAUAGAAGCGUGGUUGAAAUAUUGAGGUUGGAUCAGGAAAAAUCGAAAGUAACAGUCUUUUGUAUAUAGUCGCACCCAUAUGUCCUCUCUAUGAAUAUCCACCGUCAACACCGCCACCAUCCACCAUCAGCCAUCUACAGCCCCUCACCAUAUCCUUUAUUUUAUGUCUCUCACACUCUCAUCAACUCUCGCAAUCUACUAAAAUUGUUCAGGUUUUAAGAUUCUGCCUCUCACCUUCAACGUUUUUCUUUCUUUUUAUUGAUGACCCAUUCAAAUGUUCACAUAUUCUGCACGUGGCUUGAUUGCAGGUUUUAGGGGGGUGGGGGAAAGAGUUGCUUAACGAAGAAAAUGAAGAAGAUGGUUGAUUGUUUUAGUUGGAUUUUCCCUUCCCAUUUCACAUGUUCAUCAUCUCAUAAUCUCAGGUAUUCUACCAGUUUAUGCUUUUCAGUCGUAAAUCGAAUUAUGGUCUUUCAUUUUGAUUUUUUGCUUUAGAAACCCUUAAGGUUCAAUCCCUGAAUCGAAAAUUGAAUUAUAGUCAAGGUAUGGAUUAUUCUAUAUUAUCUUCCUAAUUUUUCUGCAAUUUAGAAUUUUAAAUCGGAAAAUCCCCCAAUCUCGCAUGCUGAUUUCUUGAUUUUUCCAUAAAUUAUUACCUUUUCCUCCCAAAUCUCCAAACCCUUAAACGCCAACCUCAUGGGAUCAAAAUUGAAAUAGAAGAAGAUUUACACGCCUAUUUUGUUCUGAUUUGAAAAUCACAAACACAAACAACUCACAAAUGUUAUGAUUUUCAAUCGGAGAGGAUCUUGGCCUGUAGUUAGGCUGCAGAAAUAACUGGCGAUAUGUCCUUCACCAAAAACUGAUUUCAGUUUUAAUUUUUCCCUUCUUGAUUUGAUCCCAUAAAACCAGUAUAUCUCCUCUUUUCUAUAAACCUAGCCAUCAUUGCAUUUGUUAUUUCAAAGCACUACAUCUCUUCUUCACCAAAAACUUAUUUCAAUCAGAUACACCGUUGAUAAGCCACCCCUCCUUUGGUUUGGUUGAUCUUCGUAUUCCGUCUGCUUUCAUCUCCCUAAUAUUGUAUGCUCUCAUCUAAUUUUCUAGGGUUCUUACACGCAUUUUCAUAUUUUGUAGCCCCAACUUUCAUUCGUUCCAUUUUUUGUCAUUUUUUCAUCCGUUUCCCACAAUCCCAUUAUCAUUGUGAUGAAAUUUUUUCUAUUUUAAUUUUAUUUCCAUUAUUCGAUAUAGGUUGCAAGUGUAAAAUAUGAUAAUCAAGUCUUUUUUUCUUAUGGGUUUAGAUUAUGAGUGUGGUAUAGAAAUUUUUUGGUAGAAUUAGGUUUUUCUAUCUGCAACGAAGACAAGGAUCAAUUUCUCGCUUUUUUUCUUAAUUUUCAAUCUGCAAUUAUACAUAUUUUCAAGUUCGGUCCUAUGAGCCGUUGGUUGUGUAAAGGCGGACAGGUUCUAAUCCAUGUUUACCCCACCAGCGAAACAAUAUUGGAUAAGAUAUGGUCAUAUCAUCUCCUUUAAUCCUUAGUUACAUCAAUUAGAUGUGUUGCAUCUAAAUAUGUGUGUGCUUCAGAUAAAUAUCAAUAAACCCAUAGAAAAUGGUAUUUUUAGCUUUGUAUUUCUCAUUAAUCUUUUGGUUUCUUACAAUUUCAUACUAUAGAUUUCUCAAGCUUUUGAGCAAACCCGACAAGCUGAUUGUGCUCCAUGGUAAUAUGAUGUAAAACCCACUCACACUUGUAAUAGUUACAAAUGAAAGUAAGAUUCUAUGUUACAUUAAUAAAUGAAAGUGCAUUGCUAUUUACUGCUAAGGUUUUGGUUCGAAAAUAGAAGGUAAGGCCCGCUGAUGGGGAGAUGACUUACUCCUAUAAGCUGUACAUUUGAAUUUCUCUCUGACUUGAACAAGAAAAAUAGACUUAACAUAUAUAGUCAACGGAAAUGAGGCUUUUCUCCUUAAGCCCUAACUUUUUACAAAUUUGGCAUCAUAUGUUUUUUUCUUUCCAUUUUCAUUUUCCAAAUGUGCCAUCAUUUUCUUAAAUAUCUUGCAAACAUCAUUUAUCUAGAAGAAACUUAAUAACUAAAAAAAGGUGUUUUUUCUUUUACUUCCACUACUAGAAAAACAGCCUUUUACGACGCUCAUUGCGCGUCGUAAAAGGCUCAGACGACGCGCAAAUGCGCGUCAAGGAAGGCCAUGUCAUAAAGAGAGACGGCGCGAAUUUACGAUACUCAUUUACGACGCGCAAUUACGACGCACGUUUACGACACGCAAUGCGUAUCAAGGAAGCCCUUGUCAUAAAAAAAGACGACACGCAUUCGCGUGUCGCAACCUUAUGACGCGCGUGUUAAUGACACGCAAUACGUAUCAAGAAAGCCCCUGUCAAGAAAGGCCAUGUCAUAAAUGAAGAUGACACACAGUUUUGCGUAUCAUAAUUUUAAAUGUUUAAAAGAAAUAUUAUUUAUAGAUUUACUAAUUUUCAAAUUAAAUUUGUAUUAAUGUCUCAUAAUAUAAAAUUAAAUAUCAUAUACAAAAAAAUACAAUCCAUUGUAUAAAAUUUAAUGUCAUACAAAUAAUCGUUCCAUGUAAAGAUAAAACAAAUCAAUAGUUGUAACAAAAAUUUAAUGCCAUACAUUGUUAUUAAGGGGUUUUCCCAAACUAUAUAACCUGAUACUAUAUCCCUAACUAUAUAACCUGAUCCUUCAUGCCAUUAGUUUGCCACCUGGUGUACUACGUAAAAUGUUGAACUUGGUGUCAUGGGCAGCUGCCCACCGGGCGUGGCUGGAAAGUAAUUACUUGCUGAUAAGAUAACAAUGCUUUAAUCCAAGACGAGUCAAGAAUGCCUAAGAAAAAGAAUCAACUAAACAAGCAAAAUCUUGAUUGGAUUUUUGUUAGUGUAAGAAGUUAAAGGUACAACCCUUUAAAAGGCAGCUGGUAUCCCAAGUGUGAGGAAUGGAGGCCUAUGAUCCAUUGUCACCUAAAACAAAAAAAUUCCUGUUAGAAAAAAACUUCACCUUUAUUUAUUAGUUUUCCCUCCACCACUGUAGGCAUGCUUCAAAUUCGUUAGAUCAAUGUUGUCUAAACUGUUAGACAACAAUGAGUUUCCAAGUAAUCCUAAAAAUCAAAGUAAUGCUUCAAACUCUUCUCAGUUUUGUUAGAAACAAACUUUAUGUGGAAGAUCUUUAUGCCAAAUACAUUGAAUUCAUGGGGGAGGGAAAUAUUCAAGCCCAAGUGUUAGAAGGAAAAAAUGACACCCUGUCAAAAAGAAAGAAAAUAUGUCUAAGUUGAUUUCAAUCUAUCCCAAUUUUCAUUGAUCAAACAUUCAACUUUCAUAGAUUCAAUUCAAAUCAAAAAUACACCUCAACAGCCAAAUAACAAAUGGAUCCAACAGUGAAGCUAGUCCAUCAGCAAAGCAAAAUCCUAGAGAUAAUUUGAAGAAAUUCUGGUCUAAUAUGUUUAAAAUUUCAUAAAACCCAAAUUCACUAAUGAAAAUGCAGAUCUACAUUGGUAAGUUACUAUGCAUUCCAACCUUGACAAAAAGGUUAGGCAAUAUGUUGAAGAUGCAGUUGCAAAACCAUAUUCCAACAUAAUAAGAACUAUAGAUUAUAUAACACCAUUUCCAAUAAACUGUUCUGAGCCUACAAAGAUAGAACAAUGUUAAACAUAGUUCAUUAAAGAUGUAAAAUACUUACAAUAAACUGUUCUAGGCCUACAAAAAAAGGUUUCUACAUACAGAUACUACUGAUGUAAAUACUUACAAUAUACCUUUGAAAAUGCAUUUAAAAUGUGAGUUUGGAGACUUACCAAAGAUGUAAAAGAGAAUGAUUGCAAAUAAGGAAGGGAUUAAGAAGCUUAUGAUGUCCUAUAUAUGUGUUGACACCCAAUGUGACAUAUAGAUACCCGAGUAUUAGUAAUGAUAACCAGUUAAUGGUCAAACUGUGAAUCACUUAUUGGUUAUACAUUGUUGUGUUAACAAAAGAAAAGCGUAAAGAAAACAAACAAGUUUUCUUACCCCACUAAUCAGUUGUUGAUGUUUCACUUUUACUUCAUGCUCCUGCAUAAGACAUGCAUUACGUUAAAAUACAAGAAAAAUAUUCCCAUUAACUAACUGUUUACAGGAAACCCAAAUUAGUUUAGCCAAAAUGACCAAUAAGUUAUAAAUCCUUGAUCAAGAAAUUCUUGCGUAUUGCAUAAAAUGUUUAUUGUUGGAUUAACUGAGGGGCGUUAAAAUAAUUGGGUCAAUUAUGUGAAAAAGACAACUAGAGAGUGGCAUACCUUCACAAUAGGAACAACAAAUGAAGCACGAAUGAAAUCACUAUUUAAAUACACAACAAUAGUUACAGAGAAUGCAUCCAGGUCCUACAAGAUCAUACAAAUCGCUAUUUAAAUACACACUACAUAUAAAGGUGUCAAUAUUCUGAUUGUAUGUUAUCCUAGAAAAAUUUAUAAGAUAUGAGUAUACAUAGAAUAAUAAUUGGAAGUAUAUGUAUACUUGAUGUUGCAGGUGUUGACUUUCUGUCAUUGGCAUUGGAUGAUUACGUGUUUGUAUGGUCAUAUUCCCAUUAUAUGUACCAAGCCUAAGAAUUACAUCAUUCAUUAAAUUGACAAAGGUUGGAGCAGCAUGUUGAUAAGUGUUGUUGGGAAAAACCGAAUAUCCUAUACUACCAUGAUCAUUCUGAGGAUCCAUCACAAUAACCCCAUAUCUUGACUCAUAAGAUUCAUUGAAGCUGGACAUCAAUAGCAUCUUACAAUACCUUACUAGGAUCAGGAAAUGU
rnacentral:lncRNA from 1 species